rnacentral:rRNA from 1 species
UACGUAGGGGGCGAGCGUUGUCCGGAAUCAUUGGGCGUAAAGCGCGUGUAGGCGGCUCGAUAAGUCUGCUGUGAAAGUCCAGGGCUCAACCCUGGGAUGCCGGUGGAUACUGUCGAGCUCGAGUCCGGAAGAGGCGAGUGGAAUUCCUGGUGUAGCGGUGAAAUGCGCAGAUAUCAGGAGGAACACCAAUGGCGAAGGCAGCUCGCUGGGACGGUACUGACGCUGAGACGCGAAAGCGUGGGGAGCGAACAGG